rnacentral:rRNA from 1 species
UACAGAGGGUGCGAGCGUUAAUCGGAAUUACUGGGCGUAAAGCGCACGUAGGUGGCGACGUAAGUCGGGUGUGAAAGCCCCGGGCUCAACCUGGGAAUUGCAUUCGAGACUGCAUUGCUGGAGUACGGAAGAGGAGAGCAGAAUUCCCGGUGUAGCGGUGAAAUGCGUAGAUAUCGGGAGGAACAUCAGUGGCGAAGGCGGCCCUCUGGUCCAGUACUGACACUCAAGUGAGAAAGCGUGGGGAGCAAACAGG